rnacentral:rRNA from 1 species
UGGUGGAGCGAUUUAUCUGGUUAACUCCGAUAAAGAACGGGUUGGCCUGCUAGCUAGCGACAGGGACCUGCCGGGCAGUGGCUGUGGCGCGCGCCUGCAGUUUCGGCCGUGCGUGCGCUGCCACGCCGCCGCCCCAUCCUUGGCCUGCUUCUUAGAGGGACACUCGGCGCUUCAGCCAACGGAGGUCUGAGGCAAUAACA